AGGUAGCGAAAUUCCUUGUCGGGUAAGUUCCGACCCGCACGAAAGGCGUAACGAUCUGGGCGCUGUCUCAACAAGAGACUCGGUGAAAUCAUAGUACCUGUGAAGAUGCAGGUUACCCGCGACAGGACGGAAAGACCCCGUGGAGCUUUACUGUAGCUUGAUAUUGAGCACUGGUGGCACAUGUACAGGAUAGGUAGGAGACGAAGAAACCAGGACGCCAGUCUUGGUGGAGUCGCUGUUGGGAUACUACCCUUGUGUCACUGGGGUUCUAACCCGUGGCCCUUAUCGGGUCAGGGAACAGUGUCAGGUGGGCAGUUUGACUGGGGCGGUCGCCUCCCAAAGAGUAACGGAGGCGCCCAAAGGUUCCCUCAGAAUGGUUGGAAAUCAUUCGAAGAGUGUAAAGGCAGAAGGGAGCUUGACUGCGAGACCUACAAGUCGAGCAGGGACGAAAGUCGGGCUUAGUGAUCCGGCGGUACCGAAUGGAAGGGCCGUCGCUCAACGGAUAAAAGCUACCCCGGGGAUAACAGGCUGAUCUCCCCCAAGAGUUCACAUCGACGGGGAGGUUUGGCACCUCGAUGUCGGCUCAUCGCAUCCUGGGGCUGUAGUCGGUCCCAAGGGUUGGGCUGUUCGCCCAUUAAAGCGGUACGCGAGCUGGGUUCAGAACGUCGUGAGACAGUUCGGUCCCUAUCCGUCGUGGGCGUAGGAAAUUUGAGAGGAGCUGUCCUUAGUACGAGAGGACCGGGAUGGACACACCGCUGGUGUACCAGUUGUUCUGCCAGGAGCAUAGCUGGGUAGCUACGUGUGGACGGGAUAAACGCUGAAAGCAUCUAAGCGUGAAGCCCCCCUCAAGAUGAGAUUUCCCAUUCGAAAGAAGUAAGAUCCCUUGAAGACGACGAGGUUGAUAGGUCAGGAGUGGAAGUGUGGUGACACAUGGAGCGGACUGAUACUAAUCGAUCGAGGACUUAACCAA
rnacentral:rRNA from 1 species